CAGAAAUUUGUAGUUGGUAAAAACAGUUCUUCAAUUCAAAACUGUUCUGUUGUGUUAACCUAAAAGGAAGAAACUGAGACGAAAUUUAACAGAGUUUAUUUUAGUCAAGGUUCAGGACUGCUGCCAGGCUCCCACUUCCAAGCUGCCUUGGGGAGAGUGCUCCAGAGAACAAAAGAAAGGCUCAAAUUUUUAAAGAAAAAAGGACAAAUCAGGAAGGGAGAGAUAACAAAAGUUGUUCAUUCUGAAUUCUCAACAUUGGUUUACAGAAAUAACAUUGGUUAGUGAUUGGCUAUACACUAUUGAACUAUAGGGUAUAUGACAUUUUAUAGCUACUUGGCACUAGUUAGUCUAGAGGCCCCAAAGCAAGUGGCGUAUUUAGCUCAAGGGAGAGUGAGAUGAGAAUGCUGUUACAUUUUAAAUACCUCUCUGAACCUGACAAUUUAAAGGGGCUCAUAUUCCUCAGAUUAAAAGUUUCUCUUUUCCCCCCACAGUUGUUUUCAAGCCAUGAAUACAAAUCAUAAAUAUAGUAUUAUUAAUAAUCUAAUCUGUCCUGUAAUUUUUACAGUGAACUAUUUACAAACUGAAUUGGGCAACUGGUUCAUCAGACGUUAAGAACUCUAUGUUCUUAGUACCAACUUCAGCAAGUAACUGAUUAUCAGAGUCUACUGAGUAUUCAAGAAAUUUGAGGCCAUGUGCGGUGGCUCACGCCUAUAAUCCCAGCAUUUUGGGAGGCUGGAGUGGGUGGAUCACUUGAGGUCAGGAGUUCAAGAACAGCCUGGCCAACACGGUGAAACCCCAUCUCUACUAAAAAUACAAUUAGCUGGGUGUGGUGGCAGGAACCUGUAACACCAGCUACUUGGGAGGCUGAGGCAGGAGAAUCGC
rnacentral:lncRNA from 1 species